UUAAUGAGAGUUUGAUCCUGGCUCAGGACGAACGCUGGCGGCGUGCCUAAUACAUGCAAGUAGAACGCUGAAGAGAGGAGCUUGCUCUUCUUGGAUGAGUUGCGAACGGGUGAGUAACGCGUAGGUAACCUGCCUUGUAGCGGGGGAUAACUAUUGGAAACGAUAGCUAAUACCGCAUAACAAUGGGUGACACAUGUCAUUUAUUUGAAAGGGGCAAUUGCUCCACUACAAGAUGGACCUGCGUUGUAUUAGCUAGUAGGUGAGGUAACGGCUCACCUAGGCGACGAUACAUAGCCGACCUGAGAGGGUGAUCGGCCACACUGGGACUGAGACACGGCCCAGACUCCUACGGGAGGCAGCAGUAGGGAAUCUUCGGCAAUGGGGGCAACCCUGACCGAGCAACGCCGCGUGAGUGAAGAAGGUUUUCGGAUCGUAAAGCUCUGUUGUAAGUCAAGAACGAGUGUGAGAGUGGAAAGUUCACACUGUGACGGUAGCUUACCAGAAAGGGACGGCUAACUACGUGCCAGCAGCCGCGGUAAUACGUAGGUCCCGAGCGUUGUCCGGAUUUAUUGGGCGUAAAGCGAGCGCAGGCGGUUUGAUAAGUCUGAAGUUAAAGGCUGUGGCUCAACCAUAGUUCGCUUUGGAAACUGUCAAACUUGAGUGCAGAAGGGGAGAGUGGAAUUCCAUGUGUAGCGGUGAAAUGCGUAGAUAUAUGGAGGAACACCGGUGGCGAAAGCGGCUCUCUGGUCUGUAACUGACGCUGAGGCUCGAAAGCGUGGGGAGCGAACAGGAUUAGAUACCCUGGUAGUCCACGCCGUAAACGAUGAGUGCUAGGUGUUGGAUCCUUUCCGGGAUUCAGUGCCGCAGCUAACGCAUUAAGCACUCCGCCUGGGGAGUACGACCGCAAGGUUGAAACUCAAAGGAAUUGACGGGGGCCCGCACAAGCGGUGGAGCAUGUGGUUUAAUUCGAAGCAACGCGAAGAACCUUACCAGGUCUUGACAUCCCGAUGCUAUUUCUAGAGAUAGAAAGUUACUUCGGUACAUCGGUGACAGGUGGUGCAUGGUUGUCGUCAGCUCGUGUCGUGAGAUGUUGGGUUAAGUCCCGCAACGAGCGCAACCCCUAUUGUUAGUUGCCAUCAUUCAGUUGGGCACUCUAGCGAGACUGCCGGUAAUAAACCGGAGGAAGGUGGGGAUGACGUCAAAUCAUCAUGCCCCUUAUGACCUGGGCUACACACGUGCUACAAUGGUUGGUACAACGAGUUGCGAGUCGGUGACGGCAAGCUAAUCUCUUAAAGCCAAUCUCAGUUCGGAUUGUAGGCUGCAACUCGCCUACAUGAAGUCGGAAUCGCUAGUAAUCGCGGAUCAGCACGCCGCGGUGAAUACGUUCCCGGGCCUUGUACACACCGCCCGUCACACCACGAGAGUUUGUAACACCCGAAGUCGGUGAGGUAACCUUUUGGAGCCAGCCGCCUAAGGUGGGAUAGAUGAUUGGGGUGAAGUCGUAACAAGGUAGCCGUAUCGGAAGGUGCGGCUGGAUCACCUCCUUUCUAAGGAA
rnacentral:rRNA from 4 species